rnacentral:rRNA from 1 species
CACGUAGGGCGCAAGCGUUGUCCGGAAUUAUUGGGCGUAAAGAGCUCGUAGGCGGUCUGUUGCGUCCGCUGUGAAAACUCGGGGCUUAACCCCGAGCCUGCAGUGGAUACGGGCAGACUAGAGGUGAGUAGGGGAGAAUGGAAUUCCCGGUGUAGCGGUGAAAUGUGUAGAGAUCGGGAGGAACACCGGUGGCGAAGGCGGGUCUCUGGGCAUCUCCUGACGCUGAGGCGCGAAAGCGUGGGGAGCAAACGGG